rnacentral:rRNA from 1 species
UACGGAGGGUGCAAGCGUUAUCCGGAUUCACUGGGCUUAAAGGGUGCGUAGGCGGACAGGUAAGUCAGUGGUGAAAUCUCUGGGCUUAACUCAGAAACUGCCGUUGAUACUAUUUGUCUUGAAUAUUCUGGAGGUAAGCGGAAUAUGUCAUGUAGCGGUGAAAUGCUUAGAUAUGACAUAGAACACCGAUAGCGAAGGCAGCUUACUACAGAAUGAUUGACGCUGAGGCACGAAAGCGUGGGGAGCAAACAGG